rnacentral:rRNA from 1 species
GAUGAACGCUGGCGGCGUGCCUAAUACAUGCAAGUCGAGCGAAUGGAUUAAGAGCUUGCUCUUAUGAAGUUAGCGGCGGACGGGUGAGUAACACGUGGGCAACCUGCCCCAGAGAGCGGGACAACCCGGGGAAACCCGGGCUAAUACCGCAUGAUGCGUCUCCACUUAAGUGGAGCCGCCAAAUGGUAGCUUCGGCCUCCGCUCUGGGAUGGGCCCGCGCCGGAUUAGCUAGUUGGUUGGGGUAACGGCCCACCAAGGCGACGAUCCGUAGCUGGUCUGAGAGGACGAUCGGCCACAAUGGGACUGAGACACGGCCCAGACUCCUACGGGAGGCAGCAGUGGGGAAUCUUGCGCAAUGGGCGAAAGCCUGACGCAGCAACGCCGCGUGGGGGAAGAAGGCCUUCGGGUUGUAAACCUCUUUCAGUAGGGACGAAGCUUCCGGGGUUAAUAGCCUACGGGGUGACGGUACCUACAGAAGAAGCCCCGGCUAACUACGUGCCAGCAGCCGCAGUAA